rnacentral:tRNA from 1 species
GCCUGGGUGGCUCAUUUGGUUGAGUGUCUGACUUCGGCUCAGGUCACGGUCUCGCAGUUCGUGGGUUCGAGCCCCGUGUCGGGCU